GAAAUAUGGGAUACAAGAAUAAGCUUCUAACUUAACUCUUUAGCAGUGAAACUCUGUUAAUAUUUCU
rnacentral:tRNA from 1 species